UAAAAAUUCAUGUGCACGGGCUGCGGUCCC
rnacentral:piRNA from 1 species